CAGACCUACAGCACGGCGCUUACAAACCUACAGGACGGCGCUUACCGACCUACAGGACGACGCUUACAAACCUACAGGACGGCGCUUACAGACCUACAGCACGGCGCUUACAGACCUACAGGACGGCGCUUACAAACCUACAGGACGGCGCUUACAGACCUACAGCACGGCGCUUACAAACCUACAGGACGGCGCUUACCGUCCUAAAUCCGGCCGACAGCAAUUGCUUGUUGAUGUACACAGACGGACAGGAGACAUGCUGUUUUGUUGAAGUGCGAGAGUAACUUUUAUUGUAUUAUUUUAUUACUGUUGCCAUAGGCAAACUCACCGUUUGUAGAUUACACUUGGAUUAUUUAUCACAAAAGAAGAUAUAAGUACGGUGGCUGGGAAGUGCAAAGCACAUUUACAACAUAGACAACAAAAUAACAUUUCAGAAAACACUUCUACAUAAAAAAAAAAAGGCAAAUAAAAAAAUUGACAACAAAAUAACAAGUCCGCAACAAAUUAACAAGUGGCUCUUGACGGAAAGGGAUUGUCUGAAAUACCGGAAGUGACUCAACAAUGUUUCUGGCCCAAACAAAGUGCUAGCGGAAGAGGAGCGAAAGCACACGGAUAACACCAGCUAUGGUUCGUACUUGCUGUGCGGUCGGUUGUAAUGUUAGAUCGCACGACCGGCAAGGGAAUAAGCUUGAAAUGGUUUAUCUUUUCAUUCUUUCCCCACCUGGAAGCAACAUGAGGCAGCUCGUGUAUCAGAUGUUACCAAAAGAAGACGUCUAGUCUGGAUAGCAGCUGUGAGACGAGCUGAUAUCCAGCUCUCUUCCAUCUCCAAAUAUCUGUUGGUGCUCCAGACAUUUUCAUUCCGGCAAACCAGCCUAUGAAAUGGAUGAAACACAUCGUGACUGGGUUCCAGCGCUACACAAGGGGCACUCCGAAAUCCCUGCUUCAAACAUACCGCCAUGCCAAUCAGAUUACUUCUUCCAUGUGAGGGUGAAGAUGUGACCCUUCUGGAUAAGAUGGUGAAGGUUUGCUGCGUUUUGGUGAACAGUGUGGUAGUAAAACCAGGGAAAAAUGAAACUUGUGCCUGUUAAAUAUUCUUAAGUCUUGCGCUGUAUAAAUAGCGGUAAUUUUUCAAAAGAUACAGUAAAUUAAGUAGUGUUAGUAGUUGGUGAUAUCAUGUAAACGCUGUCAUGAUUUUGUGUAAACAUUUUGUCAUUUGUAAACUAUAAAUGACAUUGAUUCUACAUUGUAACUGAUGUGAUGUUCUAUAAAGUGGUUUUAAUAAAAAACAAAAGGCAAAAA